rnacentral:rRNA from 1 species
GAUGAGCCCGCGUUGGAUUAGCUAGUUGGUGGGGUAAAGGCCUACCAAGGCGACGAUCCAUAGCUGGUCUGAGAGGAUGAUCAGCCACAUUGGGACUGAGACACGGCCCAAACUCCUACGAGAGGCAGCAGUGGGGAAUAUUGGACAAUGGGCGCAAGCCUGAUCCAGCCAUGCCGCGUGAGUGAUGAAGGUCUUAGGAUUGUAAAGCUCUUUCACCGGGGACGAUAAUGACGGUACCCGGAGAAGAAGCCCCGGCUAACUUCGUGCCAGCAGCCGCGGUAAUACGAAGGGGGCUAGCGUUGUUCGGAAUUACUGGGCGUAAAGCGCACGUAGGCGGAUAUUUAAGUCAGGGGUGAAAUCCCGGGGCUCAACCCCGGAACUGCCUUUGAUACUGGGUAUCUUGAGUGUGGUAGAGGUGAGUGGAAUUGCGAGUGUAGGGGUGAAAUUCGUAGAUAUUCGCAGGAACACCAGUGGCGAAGGCGGCUCACUGGACCACAACUGACGCUGAGGUGCGAAAGCGUGGGGAGCAAACAGGAU